GAUAAACGCUGGCGGCGUGCAUAACACAUUCAAGUCGAACGGACUGAUUCGGAAGCUUGCUUCUGAUGAAAGUUAGUGGCGGACGGGUGAGUAACGCGUGAGCAACCUGCCUAUCAGUGGGGAAUAACGUUUGGCAACGGACGCUAAUACCGCAUGAAGCAUGAGAUCCGCAUGGAUUUCAUGUCAAAGAUUUAUUGCUGAUAGAUGGGCUCGCGUCUGAUUAGCUAGUUGGAGAGGUAACGGCUCCCCAAGGCGACGAUCAGUAGCCGGACUGAGAGGUUGAACGGCCACAUUGGAACUGAGAUACGGUCCAGACUCCUACGGGAGGCAGCAGUGGGGAAUAUUGGGCAAUGGGGGAAACCCUGACCCAGCGACGCCGCGUGAGGGAAGAAGGUCUUCGGAUUGUAAACCUUUGUUAACAGGGACGAAACAAAUGACGGUACCUGAAUAGAAAGCCACGGCUAACUACGUGCCAGCAGCCGCAGUAAUAC
rnacentral:rRNA from 1 species